GGCGGCAAGUAGCCUAGUGGUUAGAGUGUAGAGGUGGCAGGUAGCCUAGUGGUUAGAGUGUAGAGGUGGCAGGUAGCCUAGUGGUUGGAGUGUAGAGGUGGCAGGUAGCCUAGUGGUUAGAGUGUAGAGGUGGCAGGGUAGCCUAGUGGUUAGAGUGUAGAGGGGGCAGGGUAGCCUAGUGGUUAGAGUGUAGAGCGGCAGGGUAGCCUAGUGGUUAGAGUGUAGAGGCGGCAGGGUAGCCUAGUGGUUAGAGUGUAGAGGCGGCAGGGUAGCCUAGUGGUUAGAGUGUCGAGGAGGCAGGUACCCUAGUGGUUAGAGUGUAGAGGC
ensembl:lncRNA